rnacentral:rRNA from 1 species
UACAGAGGGGGCAAGCGUUAUUCGGAAUUAUUGGGCGUAAAGGGCGCGUAGGCGGCUUGGCAAGUGGAUGGUGAAAGUCCCUCGGCUUAACCGAGGAACUGCCGUCCAAACUGCUUCGCUUGAGACCGGGAGAGGUGAGUGGAAUUCCCAGUGUAGCGGUGAAAUGCGUAGAUAUUGGGAGGAACACCAGUGGCGAAGGCGGCUCACUGGACCGGUACUGACGCUGAUGCGCGAAAGCGUGGGGAGCGAACAGG